ACAACUGAGAGCAGUUCAAUUUCCCCUUCGGUAGUGCAGCAUCCCGAAAGAUGCUCUCAUCCACCAGGCAGAGGAUACCUCUCGUGCAGUUAUCGGAAAAUUUCGCAUCGCAUGGGGAAAUCCCGAUCCAUUGUGCUCAGCAAGGGGAAGCUUUUCUCCCCGAGCAAUUGUGUUCCGAAUUCUGCUGCAAGGCAACCUCACCCGGCCCCUCGAACCGAUUUCCCGAUUAUGGUUGGGUUUGUGUGGCAACGCGGUGUGGUGACUGGAUCGAAGAUAGUGGAGCCACAUUCCCCCAGCGGCAUCCUCGUGGACAGGAUGCACCAAGGCCUGGGCUAGGGAGUCUCGGGGCGUAUGGUCCCCUGGUAUAAAAACCUCGGAAAGAAUCCAUCCUCAGAAAGUCGUCCGUGUGACGUCGUCGUGAAAGGGAGGCCUGUGUCUGUCCGUUCAAAAGUUGUCAUGUUUCGACGUAGUUUUUGGCUGUGUGUUGUUAGGUUCUGCGGUGUGUAAUUUAAUAUCCUACCUGGCCCCAAAACGUUGUUGGAUGCUGCGGUUUGGAUGUGUUGACUGCUGUUGCGGCUGGGUGGCUUAUGUCGAGGACAAUGUUUUAAUCCUGUGGUGAUUAGUGCGGGGAUGCACCAAAGUGACGAUGUGCAACGGUUACGCAUUGCGUGUGCGUGUGUAGGUGUGCGGGUGGUGGACACGUGCAGAUAAGGGAAGAGUGGGGCGGUAGGCGGAAAGCAAUUGCGGAACUACGUAAACGAUUUUUGAGGUUAGGACAGUUUUUGUUUACCUUUGAUUAUGCAUGUAUGGUCAGGCUAAGAGGCUGAGGGAAAUUAGCAUAAUCUCCGUUACGAUAUAUCGGAAAUCAAUGAGCAUAGGACUUAACGGGAUGCCUGGAAAGGCAAUGAAGGAAAUGAAUUGGUUUUGAAAUGAUGUUGGAUACAUUUUGCUUUAGUUCUUUGGGCUUUAAUUCUCUUAUCGUUUUGAACAUUCUGGGUUCUCGAAAUUCGUUAACAAGUACAAAUUAGGUGAGCUAGUAAGGAAAGUUUUUAUUUGUCAAACACAAACACAACCCGGCUGCAAACUUUAUAAAAACAAGAGCGAACAUUCUUCCGAAGAAAACCACGAAAGAAUUCUAAACUUGUCCCCCAAAAAAGGGUCAAACUGGCCUGAAAACAAACAAACUUCAACUGAGCGCGAAGUGUUCGAAUGGAAACUGAAUUAGCUUCAUACAAAAACUCUCAAGAAGAUAUGUGGAACCCGAGAGAGGGCAGCAGGCAAGCAUGAUUCGAAGGGAAAACCACACACAGCAAAAAGCAGCAAAGCGAACUUACACACCGUGAGAGCAUGCAGGGAAAACUCGAAACUCUGAACUUCCCGUGCCGGAUGAAAAGUGCGAUGUAGUGAUAGUGCCGAGGCGGAGGUAAUGGAAAAGCUUCACAUCCGAGCUGAAACCGAAUUCAAGAGUAAAUCACAGUCAACCGGAGAAAGAGCAAGUCCGGAGUCAUCGCCAGGCCAAACACGGAGGCUACCGGAAACGGUUUUCGUGUGUGAAAGGAGCUCGUUCGCAGCAAAAAAGAUGUGUAACAAAGUUAUACAAAUAUGAGAUUGAAACAGAUCGCUGUUUGAAAUCCAAGGUACGUUGAACUCACAAGUUGCCAUUAAACAUUUAAUGUUGUCAUCACAAUGGGGCAAGCUAAUUAACCCAAAAACUUUUUGCAUUAUCACGAUUAUGUUCAUGUAUCACGUACUAACAAAGCGCUAUCACAGCAAGAGUAAACCGAAAUUCAGCAUAUGUUGGGUGAAAGAUUAGCUUCAAGUGACACGAGUUUAUAACUUUCGUGCCUCAGUUUCUUUUCCAUCGAUGAACAGCUUACGCCUUUAGAUAUGCUGUAUCAUUAGCAGGCAGCUCGUUCUAAAUAUUUGUGUUCGUUGUGUGGUUGUUCAUAUAGCCCAGUGGAAAAUAUGCCGCCUCAAAAGCUUUCUUGUAUGCAAGACGAUUGUCUCUCUGAGAUGCCAGAAGUGAAGUGUUUACGCGAGUGACGUGGUCUUAUUUUCAACUUUGACUUUAUAAAUUCUGAUUAACCCUCGAGCGAUCGCGCUGUUGUAUUUUGUACAACACGUUGAAAAAAACCUCGCUUUUUGUAUUCAUCAUUAGCUUGGUGCUGGCGGUGGUAGCCAACCGCGCGAGUGCCGGAAGGUUAAUGCAAACUCAUGCAUGAUUGAGGUAGCAUUGUAUCACAUUUUCGAAAAAAAAUCUUCAAAAAUAUUUUAUGAUAGAGAUAUUUGAUUCGAGUCAGGAACUUAGAUUACAUUUUCAACCUUAUUUAUUCUGCGGAAAUUUAAAAAAAAAUCACGUAAUGUUUCAUCAUUGAGGGAGGAGAAAUUCCUAAGGGCCCGUUUCAAAAGUGUACGAUGGGGAAGGGGUGUCUGAGAUGGCUGAAAAUGAAUCUAUGUAGUUUAUUGACAACGCCUGAAGAAAUUACUACUGAGGUUUUUUUUUAUUUUUUUUAUAAUAAAGCAUUUGAGAUUUACACUCAUUUUUUUUUCCGAGCUCGGAUGUGCAAAUCUCGGUUUCUUGGAUCAAACCAAGAAAGCACUCUUGGAGACAUCACAGGCUUUCAAGAGGAAUCUGCGAAGGAAUUCCUGGAAGAAUCCCAAGGUUCCUGGAGGAAUGUCGGAAUUUUCAAAAGGAGGAAUCUCCAAGAAGACUCUUGUAGAAAUGAUAAAAGAAAGGAGUGAAUUCCAGAAAGAACUUCUGGAGGAAUACCGGUAGAAAUCAUGGUUGAAAUACUCAAAAGGAGGAAUCUUCGAAGGCACUCUUGGAUAAACCCAGAAGCAACUUCUGAUCAAUUUUGAAAAAUUUAAAAUUGGGGGAAAUUCAGAAGGAGCUCCGAGAGGUUUCCCCAAAGGAACUCCUGAAGGAAAUCCAGAAGGGGCUUCUGAAGGAAUCGAAGAAAGACUCCAAGAAACUCUCGCAGGAAUCUCAGAAAGAACUUCUUGAAAUAUCACAGAAUUUUUUUUUUUUGAAGAAUUCCCAGAAGAAACUGCUUAAGAAUUCUUUAAAAAGGAAAUCCUAAAGGAACUUCUUGUCGAACCCAAGAAGAAAGAAGAUUCUCAGGAAUUAUUCCUAGAGAAAUACAAGAAGAAUUUUCUGUAAUAAUUUCAGUAUUCCUCGAAGGAACCUCUGUAGAAAUCUUAGAAACAACUUUUAGAUCAUUCUCUGAAGACACUCCUGGAGGAAUUUCUUGAAAGAGCUCCAGAAAGAAUUCUAGAAGGAAACUGAGAAAAUGCUUCCGCAGGAAAAUCAGUAGGGAUUUAUGGAGGAAUUCAGAAGGAACUUUUGAAGAAAUGCCUGAAGAAAUUCAUGGAAGAUUAUCACUUCGCAUCCGCUAGUAUUUUUACUUAACUAAAGUGGCUGUAUAAACCCAAAAAAAAAAUAAUAAAAAAUACAAAACGUGACUUUUUUUAUUACGAGCUGUACGUAGUGUACGGUUUGGGCAAAAAAUGACUAAUGCAAAAGAAGGGUGACAGUGAUGGAGACGUAACGUCAUUCCAUACGUAUAUGAGCACAAAAUAAUUAAACUAUCGUUGAAAAAAAUAAAAAAUAUUGUCGUUGGGUUCAACAUAGUGAAAAUCAUAAAAAUAACUAAUAUUCGAACCAUUUUUGCAUUUUACAUUUCACUAUUUUGGUGGUAGUUUUUUUUAAUCUAGAACUAACUAACUUCCUAUUUGUGAUAAUUAAUUAAUGAAAAGUUGUGAGGAUAUGAAAAAAAAUAAAAUUAAAUAAAAAAUAUCUUCCAAUCCUGUUUAUAAAAAUGGCAACUCUAAUGGUGAAUCAAAAAUACACGAAUCUUAUAAUUCUUGGUAAAGAUAAUCCCUAACCAUCGGAGCACUUUUAUUUUCGAGUUUUUUUCUUUUUUUUAUCGAAUGGCUGUAUAUAGAAGUCAUUUCGAUCCAGAAAAAUUGUCAAAUGGUCCCUUCUUUUCGUAAAAUUGAGCAAUAAGAAAUGGCAGAAUUUCAUAAUCCGCACUAUGAAAUGGCGGAAACAAUCCACUGAAAGAUCCAUAAAAAAUAGAAAACGAUCACUAAAACUUUAGAAAUGAUUCAUAUAUGAACAGUGCAGUGGAUCAUUUCCCUAACUUUAUGGGCCUUAGAAAAUAUAUAGAUCGUUUCAAAUAUUUCAUGGAUCAAUUUCUUGAUUUAAUGGAUUGUUGUCCAAUUUUUUGGAUCAUUUUUAAUAUUUUAGAGAUUGUUUUCACAUUUUUUAUGGGCCGUUAAAAUUUUUCCUGUGAAUCAUUUUCUUUUUUCAGGGAUCGUUUCAAACAUUUGAGAGCAGGUUUCUCGUUCAAAACAAAGGCUUCUCCAUGAAAAUGAAUUCCACAUGAGGAAUGGAAUACAAUGUAUACACUUCAGAUUGAGGGUUAUCUCCUCAAAAACAUGUCACUUUUUAGGUUCACAUCUCCACCAAUUCACAUCCGAUUUCAAGAACCGAGGUUUCAUUCAAACGAUAAUAAGUCAAAGAAUUUUUGAACAUCAUUAAGGUGGAACUUUAUUAAAAAUAUUUGUAUAUUAGCUUUACCUUAAGUUUCCAAAUUUUCUAAAAAAAAAUAAAAUUACGGAAAUGACUCGAAAUUGGGUCGAUCAAAUUAUAAGAAGAAAGCGGUAAUAUAUCCUAUUUUCUAUUGGCUUUCAACUACUUUUGCAAAACUUACAAGGGUACGAUGGUGUCCCCCGAGAAUUACAGUCGGACUAUUUUUGUUAGAUUCUACAUGUGGAAAUAUGAAAAAAUCCAAAGUUUUUCGGGUGAUGGACCAGCGGUGUAGCAAGGAGGAGCCAUCAAAGGAACACAUUUGACUCAAACUUCAUGAAAAUGUUAAUUUAGUAAUUUAUUUUAGUAGAAAUAGGCAGUAGAGACAUUUAUCUAUGAUUUCGUAUCAAAUUUAAUUUGCAUUAGGUCUUAGUAGGGUGAGAAUUGAAUGAUAUUUUUUAAAUAAAAUAAGAUACAAACAUUCUCGCACUAUCAAUGCCUAUGGCAAAAUUAUUUCGUUGCUAUGUCACAUUUAUGAUUAUUUUUCCUGUAUCUACUACAAUGAAUACUAAAAUUAGCAUUUUCAUGUAGUUUGAGAUUGUUCAAUAAUGUUCCAUUUGGCCAAAUUUGCCCCUUUGUGGGCUCCUUCUGGCUACACUACUGGUCCAUCACCCGAAAGGCUUUCCAAGCAGCUCACGAGUCACAAAGAAGUGUCGGCAGCACAGGUUUUUGGAUGAACACGAGUCAUUUUCAAGUUAUUCUGCCUUUGAAUAAGAAUUACAUGAAUGUAGCUCCUGUUGAACCAAAAACCUUGUUAGCAAAGAAAUCCAGGUAAAAAAUAUUAAGUAAAUUUACUAUUGAUGUUACUGAUCUAAAGUUGGGGGUCACCCCUAUAUUAGCCAAAAGUUUUGAGUUACUUUGAUAAAAUAUGGAAAAGUGAUGUGUUAAUAUCUUUGUAAUGUUUCAUUCAUAUUUUUUUGUAGUUUUGUUAAGAUUAUAAACAAAUGCUUUUCUGAAUAUAUUCAAUGAUUUUUAAAAAUAUCUUGUAAAGUAAACAUAUUUAACUACUUCGUUUUUAAAAGACGUUAUUUUACGCAAUGUUUUAAUUUGUCUGUAGUAAGAAUCAUUAACAAUACCAAAAAUCGGCCAAAAUAAAUUAAAAUUAAAUCAAACAUGACAAAUAUAUCAACACAUCACUUUUCCGUUUUUUUUUGCUAAAGUGACCCCCAACUGCUAUAAAUUCUUCCUGAAAUAAAGAAAAACAUAUUUUAUGAAAUUCUUGCAUGGAUUGAUUUUUUUUAAUUCGUGCAGGGAUUUCUUCAGAAAUUCUUCUCGAUAUGUUUUCAGAAAUUUCUCCAAGAAUUCCUUUAAAAAACUAUUUCGAGAUUCCGUUUGAAAGUUCCCCAAGUAAAAAAAAAUGCACCAAUUCCUUUCACAAUUUCUUCAAGAAUUCCUCAAAACAAUUUUUCAACGGAUUUUCUCAGAAAGCAUCAGGAAUUCCAUUUGUCAUGAAAUCUUAAAAAAAAACUCUUCCAGAAAUCAUCCGAAAAUUUUCUUCAGGGACUGCUCUAAAAAAAAUAUUUUCUACUAAAUUACUACUAAAUUUCAAUUACGGAUUCAAAUCGAUAUGCAUGCCUAUGAAAAAUCUUCCAUGGGUUUCUUUUUCAGAAGGACUCCAUAGGAUUUUUCAGAAAUUCUUCCAAAAAGGCUUCCAUGAUGUUUUCCAAGAAUUUCUUUAAAAUAAGUCUAUAGAUUCCUUCAGAAAUCUUCCAUGGAUUCCUUAAGAACUUCUACAGAAAUGCUUGCAGAAAAUUCCUUGUUUAAGUUUCAAAUUUCAUUGUAUCUUAAAAUCAUUCCGGGAUUCAUUCCGAAACAUUGUCCAGGGACUCCAUCAAAAAUGCUCCCAGGAAAUCUUCAACAAUUUUUUCGAGAAAUUCGUUUAAAAAAUCAGCUGUGGGUUGCUUUGAAGAUUCCUCUAAUAAUUUCUCUCUACAUUUCUCCAAGAACUUCUUCAGACUUUUCUUCAAAAUUUCCUUUAGAGACUUAAAAAAAUGCAGGGAUUCCUGUAGAACAAAAAUAUUGACAGUAAUUCUUCUUGGAUUCUUUCAGAAAAUUCUCUAAAAAUCUUCCAGGGGUUGAUUCUGCAUGAAAUUAUUCAAAGGACUCUUUUGGUAAUUCCUGUUGAUAUUCCUUUGGAAGUUCUUCCAAGAAUUCCUUUAUAUAUAAUAUCAUGCACUUUUCUUCAAAAAUACCACAAGAGAUUUCACCAGAAAUAACUUCAAGGACUCCUUUAGAAAAUAUUCCUUGGAUUGCAAAACUGCUUUCCAAAAUCCUCUAGCGAUAACAUUCCGCAAAUCUGCCAUGGAUUUCUAUACAUAUUUCUCCAUUGAUAGUGUUUUGAAAUCCUGUAUGAAUUGCUUCAGGAAUUCCUCCGUUGAAUUUAUUCAGAAAUGCUCUGAAGUUGAAACUUCGUGGAUUCUUUCAGGAAUUCGUUUAAAAGCUCCUCCAUGAAUUUACAGAUGUUUAUCCAUUCUAUUCUCCAGAUAUUCCUUCAGAGUCAUUGUAUAUUUUGUAUUGAAUCGCUUCAAUUUACAUAUUUUUAUUUUUUUCCCAAAUCAUACUAUCAUAGUAAAAUAGUUCAAGAGCAUCGAAUACACUCUAACAUGAUUUUUCUUAAAAUUACACGCAAAUUGAAAUUUUCUAUGAAAAAAAAAAAUAAAAAUAUUUCAACAAUAAUCAUAAAAUCUCGAAAUGUUUCCGUCUAAAAAAUCCGUCUCCCAAAUAGGCAUCCAGGAAAAAUAUAAAAGUGUGGGGAUGUUCAAAAAUAAAAAUUAGAAAAAUCAAAAACCGAAAUUCACAAAAUCGAGAAAUAAAAAUAAUCAUCUUCCAAAACAUGUUUAAAUCGAUUUUAGAUGACGAAAUAUUUAGAUAAAAAUCAAAAAUUUGGGUAGAGGGUUAAUGUUUAACAUGCUUUUGCAAAAAAAAAUCUCACCAUCUUGCUCACCAUCCCCGCAAACCGUCAGAGUUUCAAACAUCCCGCCGCGCCGUCAAAUGACCAAAACAAACGACCCAUUUUGUGUGAAAAUUCAACCCAGUCUUCCUGUCAUGUUCGUCGAAGCCACCAAACACAUUCAAUUUUAUGACAUCGGGGAGCAGUUUAGAGAGCAUAAAUGUGAGACACCUUCCGAAAACACGACACACAGUGCACCGGUUAUCAUUAUAAACGGAUCGACAACAAUGAAAACACCUACCGAGGUGCCACAGCUCAGUUUCCCUGGUGUGGUGGGAAGGAAGACGAAACUGCUUCGGAGGACAACCGCAUACAACAAUCACAAUAUCUGCCAUCAAAGUUCCCUCGACUGGGUUAAAACAGUGGGUGGGUGGGUAAUAUACCCUUGGUUCACCAAACAAGGACGACGCGACGCGGCGAGUCCUGGGGGCUUCCGCAAACCACACUGUGCAAUAGCCGUAGACACUCACAUACACACAGGCGGGCACUGUGUGUUUGUCAAUCGAUUAAAUUAAGAAUUUAUAAGCGCACGUGAUGGGAAUCUAAUUUUUGAAACAUCCACCACAGAGGCAGCCCCAGCUUCCAGUACAGCGACGCAUGUCGUUAUCGCACCGAAUCAAUUCACAUACACUACCCGUCAUAAGUACGGACUCACAAAAAGUAUUGCAACAAUAUUGCAUCACCCUGACUCACCUCGAUAUCUCUAAAACCAGAACACCUACAAAAACGCCGCCUUCAGAAAAGUUGUUGCUUUUGGUCUUCUAAAUAACUUUCCUGAAGACAGCAUCUUUGUAAGUCCUCAGGUUUAAGAGAUAUCGAGGUGAGUCAGGGUGAUGCAAUAUUGUUGCAAUACUUUUUGUGAGUCCGUACUUAUGACGGGUAGUGUAUUCAGUUCAGACGAAAUGGUGCGGUGGUGGCUGCAGGACCUGAAAAGUCUGAUUGAAAAAUAGCUCAUCGAUCCAUGUUGACGGACGCGGAAACGGAUGGCCGGAGGGACGACGACGGAUGGACGGUUAGUGCAGAUAUCGUGGAUUGAUUUCCCGGUUCGUGAAGCUGCCACCGCCAACAACCGCAGCACGUUUGACUAGUUUGGAAGCGUACCAAAAGCCACAAAUCGAACUUUAACACUCGACUCUGCAAUUAAUAGGCUUGAGGCGAGCAUGUGCUCCAUUUUUUUCUGGCAGUGCAAUGAACGAAUAUUUUGAACUGUGUCAUAAAUCUGUCCCUAUGUUAAUUGGAAGCUUUUUUGGCACUAAAAUUUAUGGAAUUGGGUUGAUUUUAUUAUCUAACAUUAGGACCUACCGUGGCGCAAUCUUUUGUGUAUAAACUAGAGUACACCAAAGUACAGAAUUACACAUUUAUGUAGUUAAACAGCUUGGGCAAUCACCUUCUAAGUGAUACCUAAUAAAGGUAUUGAAAACGAACUUUUGUAUGACGGAAAAUGUAGAAAUGUAGCAAUCCAUAGGAGGGAAGGGGUUUGGCCUAAUGAAGGCUUAAGUUGCUUUUAGAAGUUUUUGUUGGUGCAUUUUUGAACAAUAGGGCACUGCAUGAAAUUCUCUCCAUGACGGGCUUGGUGGUCUAGUGGCUACCGCUUCUGAUUCGUAUGCAGAAGGUCAUGGGUUCAAUCCCUGGCCUGUCCUUUUCAUCCUACUUUGUAUCUUUCUAUCCACUUUCUCUCGCUCUCUCUUCUCUACAUAUACAACUCAUGUAUAUUCAUAUGUUCAUAGCCAUCGCUAGAACCAGAAACGAAUUGAAAAAAAAAAGUCGUUUCCCUCCCUUCCAACUUCUACUCACAGCACAGUGUAUAUAUAACGCCUAUAAGUUAUGCAACCAAAGCGUGCUGAGCCGCUUGACCUUAUUCACCUUAUUCACCACACAAUCUAUCACGAACACUAUAAAUAACCCCUAUCCAUGGAUCGCAUCACCGACCCAACGGUGACUCCCAGAUCUUCCCAUCCUUUCCGUCUAACAAAUACCCCAGUCCAUGCGGGUUGUGGGGACGCAGAGUGCUCUCGGUCUCUAGUAGCAACAACCAGUACACUCUAACAUUUUUUUCCAUUCCCAGCUGACUAUAAGGACUUGGCCGGCGCCGUUAUUGAUCAAAUAUGCAUGAGCUGCUAAAAUUGCACUUUGAGAAUAAGUGGAAUGUCCCAGCCCCUUAUUCAGUUGGAUCUCAGUGCAAUUGGUACCAGUUCAGAUCAAUCACAGAGGAGCAACCAUUGACAUGUAUAUCAUGUACUGAUUUAUC